AAAAAAAUUUAAUUAGGUGGGGCACUUUUCUGGGUAAUCAUCAACUGUCUAAUCUUCAUCUUCUACCAGUUACUGAUGGUGUAAACUGUCUCGUGGAGCCUUCUGCCAUUACAGACCUCCAUGCUGUUGUAAGUACUCUUAAUAUUCCACAGAUUUUUCAUAAUGGGUAGAAUAACAAACAUUCUGUUUCAUUACAGGAGGAUGAUGAAGACACCUUAUCAGCUGCCACAGAGAGGAAAGAUGCAGAGAGGCCUGUUGAAAGCAAUGCUGGUAAUUACAAUGAGGAAGAAGGUCCAUCAACCUCCACAGAACAGCUUACCUCACUUCCUGUGAAACAACUCUAUAAGGUAUAUUUGCAAGCACAAAUCAACAAAUUGCAUCUGGAAAUGGACCAUAUAAGGCUGCAGAUCACAGACAAAAA